UGGCAACAAACAAAGGUUCUUCUCCUAUCAAGGAAAGGGCAGGACUAAGUCUCUUUGCUGUGAGGUCGCUUGUGCUUUGUGAAAAGGAAGAUAACAUAUCCGAGUUUCCAGAUGAAGUGAAGCUCUAUUCUUUGAUUAGUUUGCUGUUUGAUGCAGAUAUUUGCAGGGGGAAAGUUUCUCAGAAGAAAGAUCAGUUCUGGUUCAGAAACCACUGCUGCAACAUUGCUGAGAGAUAUUCAUGCAGCUCCACUUGAAAGCUUUGUUACUAAAGUUGCUGAAGUCAUUGGAAGUUGUAAAACAAUGAGGGAUAUGGCUUUAUUUUGGUGCAGGGUUGUUGCUGAGGUAAGGGACUUUGUGAAGUGAACCGCUAGACUUUGCAAAAGAGAAAUAGUUCACAUUUUAGAAUAUUAAACGCUUAUGAGUAUUAUAGAUUAUGUUCGUGUUAUAUUUUCUUUGAUGAAUGACAAGUUUGUUUAUUAUUGCUG